AUUUUUAAAUCUGAAAUCAAAAUCUUCCUGGUUUUUCAGGUAAUUUGUGACAUGGGUUGCGGGGGAAUCUUGCUGUUCAUUAAAAGUUUAAACAGUGUGGAUGCUGUCUUGCAGCUAAGUUGUCUUUGCUAAAAUGUUCUCUCUUCACCCGAGCUAUGAAGAUGACUGCACUGUGGGAUGAGGUAGUAGGUUGUAUAGUUUUAGGGUCAUACCCACAACUGGGAGAUAACUAUACAAUCUACUGUCUUUCCUAAAGCAGCAGAAAAAUCAACAGUGGCAACUUCUCAAUUUGGAGUUCAUUGUCAUUGUACAGAAUUUCUGUUUCAAAGGUCUUAUAAACAUAAUGAAUAUAACUACAGCGUGUGAUAGUUUAUAUAUAUCUGUUCUCAUGAGGAUCAGCUUUUUACUGUUCUUUGUUAAAUUUUUCUUCCCCUUGAAGAAAACAGGUGUGCAAGAGUAUGUUUAAAGGAGAUACCCCCAGAUUUCUGGGGAAAAUUUAAGCUUAUGUUUCCAACAGUACUACCAAUGGCAGACGGUGUUAAUGUGGGUGCCCAUGUAAAUGUUGUUCAAAGAAAAAUAGCCGUACAACUAAGAUGUAUUUUCUGGAAGGACAGUACAGAUUUCUCUAUCAGAGUGAGGUAGUAGAUUGUAUAGUUGUGGGGUAGUUAUUUUACCCUGUUCAGGAGAUAACUAUACAAUCUAUUGCCUUCCCUGAGGAGUAAAACAAGUCUGCAGCUCUUACAUGGUAGUUGGUGUCCACAGAGAUUGGCUUGCAAGUGGAUUAUUCAAGUUAAGAUCCCACGUUAUUAAGUGGCUAGGAUCUGCACGUUAACAUGGCAUUUGACUACUACCACUCUUAUCCAAGGUGAGUGACAUAGCUGUAUAUUCAAGAUGCAUGGUCCACUGCUUAAUCUAAUUGAAAGUGUUCUGUAUGUAGAAAUACCUUUUGAAUACUAUAAAAUCUUUUUGGCUAGGGAAAAAAAGUAUUACAACUUCUUGGUUCUGAAUUUGAUUGCAGGUCUCUCAAAUUUCCAUGACUAGUCUAGACAUCAAAUUGAUGUCAGCUCAAAAGUGUUAAAACAUGUGCCUCAAUACCACCAUUGCAGCAGGGCACUAAAAUGCUGUGGAGCCCAACAGCUACAGUUUGUGAAUUUAAGCAAUACAUUUUAGGGUGAAAAUAUUAGCAAUAAGUUUUUUUCACCUUCCAAAUCUGUAAGGUGAGAUGAUGAUGAAGUUCAGUACCUUUGCUGGGAUUACUUCCUUCAGUUAACACGGAUAGCAUUAAAUGAGCAAUCCCUUUGACCCACUGAUUUAAGUUUAUUGGAAACUGUUAAGAACCAAGCAUCCAAACAUCAUUCUAUAUAUUCAGUAGGGGUGUGUGAAAUGGGCCUUGCUCGAUUUGGAUUCGUCCAAAUUGGGGACAGUGAUUUGAUUGAUCAAUUUGGAUCACUGCCCCCGAUUCAAUUCGGUUGAAUCUGAAGAUUCGGUGCUGAUUUAGAGAAUCAGCAGAUUGGUCAUAGACACAUCUUUAAAUGUUUUUUCUACAUACCUCAAGGUACCAGUGUAGCUUGUGAAUGCUGUGAUGCUGGGGCAGAUGGGGCGUCCCACAGGAGUGCAGGGGGCCCCUUCACAUGCUCAGCCGCAAACCCAGAAAUGAACUGGAAGUACUUCUGGGUCUGCUGGGGGACCCCCCUGCAGUCCCCUGACUUGGCGAUCGGCAGUGGGGAUCCCAGGUGCCCCAAGAGGCACCAGUUGCGAAGGCGGGGCAGUGUGCUUCCUGGUCUGCUGCCAAGCACACUAGGAGUCCUCCGCACUCCUGUGGAAUGUUCCAUGCACCCCAGCAUUGCAGCAUUCACGUGCUGUGCUGGUACCUCGAGGUAUAUAGACAAAAUAUCUAAAGCUGUGUCUAUCCGAAUCUUUCCUAUUUGAUUCGGAGAGAUUAAAGGGUCCUCUGAUUUGAUUUGGCGAUUUGGCCGCUGAAUCAGGCCGAAUCCCCACCAAAUCAAAUUGGGGACUGAAGCUUCGCACAGCCUUAAUAUUGACUCUAAUUUUGAGCAGUAAAAGAACAAGCUGAAGCAUAAAAGCCAAUUUUGAAUGGUAACCAUCUCAAAUGUAAACCGUGGAUGAGCUUUUGGUAUGGGAUAAGUAACUACAUGUUAAGUGUUUCUGAAGUAUCUGUUAAAACUGAGGAAUUAGAGUAGAGUUUAAGGUGAAAACUGAAGCAUUUGAAAACAAGCAUUUGACAGUUGAUUUAGUUGAGAUUCUUUAAAAAUAUCUGAGCUAAUGUUUCCGUUUCUGGUUUAAGCACUGUUACUGACUAGCCAUGUAAAUGAAUGUAAAUUUGUUCAUUUCUAAACAUGACAGGAAGUCAAAAGAACCUGGUUUAAAAAAAAAAUUAAAAAAAAAAAAAUUAACAACUUGCUGCACAGUGCAGCCACUAACUAGAAGAACUGCAAAAGAAACAGUGGGCUCCUAGGAAGAGGUAGUAGGUUGCAUAGUUUUAGGGCAGGGAUUUUGCUCACACGGAGUUAACUAUACAACCUGCUGCCUUUCUUAGGGCUUUAUUAUUACAACAGGACCAUUUGGGCUCAGUCUAAGCUGCUGCAGCUUUGAUAUGUGAAAACAGAAAUGGUAUAAGACAAGCCACUAUUCCUGAUCAUAUUAAGUUUUAAUGAAACUAAAAGGGGAUGUGGUAGCAACAGACUCAAGGCUGCUGACUUUUCUUUUUUGGAGGACAAAGCAGAAUUCUUGCUAUAUUCAUAAGAGUAAGUGCUGUGAUAGCUUAAUCUUGAAGGAGGUUAUGUUCAUUUCUUUAAGAUUCUCUCAAACUACAUUAGUACUUUAAGUGAUCUCUACUAUGAGUGAAUUUGCAAAUAUGGGAAAUGCCCCUUAUCUGUUGAGGGGUAACUUUGUUUUUUUUUUAUAAAAGGUAUUGUUUGAAGCUUCUGCUGCCAACUCCAUGAAAGUUGCAUGCUUUUUUUUCUAAACAAAGUAAUGUGUAUAGCAUCUGGCCUAAGGAUCUGAAAAGAUGCUAUAAAUCAUAAAGUUAACUAUUGAACAGGGAUGACUGUGAUUGAAGGGGAAUUGAAACCAGAUUAAAACAAAUCCAAUGCUGCAUGAAUUUCAAGAAGCAACCUAAAGGAAUGGAGUAGUGGUCUUGCACAGACUUCCAAUAUACGAACAACUUCAUAACUGCACUACAUAUUAAACUUUAAUUCUUGCAGGACUGUCCCAUGCUACCAGAGGACAGUUGGCAUGUAAUCCAAUACUACUACUACUGCUGCUAUUGUGUAAAUCUUUUAUCUGUGUCACACUUCCUUUCUCAAAACACAUUAUGCUUAUAAAAGCAGACAUAUUACAUUUUAUUUCAGUCUUGGUUUGUCCUUGUUCUCAUUGGAAAUAUGUUAGAUUGUAUUGAUGGAGUUCAUAUGACUGUAUAUUUGACUUAUUAAAAUUGUAUUCUAAUCAGCAGUUGUCAGUCUCUUUACCUCAGUGGGACCUUCCUUCUAUAGAAUGGAAAGUGAGGCUUCUGUCCCAAGAUACUUUAUUCUAAAACAGGGGUGUCAAACUUGCAUCCCAGAGGCUGGGUCCAAUUGGAGUUGCAUCAUCUGGCUUAUGGGCCUUCCCACUGCGGGGGUGUUGCUAACUGGAGACAAGUGAUGGCUGUGUUGUUCCCUGCCACAGGGCACCUCACGGGCUAGAUCCAGAGGUAGGGGUUGAGUUUGACAAAUCUGCUCUAAAGCAGUGGUUCUUAACCUUUUUUUGUACCAGGACCCAUUUGUAAAUGUCAGUAGCCAGCCACAGCCCUCCAGUUAUGGGGCAGGGGGGACCCAAGCAGCCCUUCACAGGUUGGAACUGUGUAAGCCUGCAAGGGAAAAGCCACGGUUCCCUACAUUUUUCUACUUUAAAGGAGAAUCCAUUAUUUAAAAUUUGUAUUUAUUUUUUAAGUUUGUGACCCUUUCAUAUAUUCUUGCAACCCACUUUUGGGCCACGGCGCACAAGUUGAAAAAUGCUCUAUAAAAGAUGCAACAAACCUGCAUAAUUGAAAUUAAAAAAAAAAAAAAAAAAA